UACGUAGGGUGCAAGCGUUGUCCGGAAUUAUUGGGCGUAAAGAGCUCGUAGGCGGUUUGUCGCGUCUGCUGUGAAAACUCGGGGCUUAACUCCGGGCCUGCAGUGGGUACGGGCAGACUAGAGUGCGGUAGGGGAGACUGGAAUUCCUGGUGUAGCGGUGAAAUGCGCAGAUAUCAGGAGGAACACCGGUGGCGAAGGCGGGUCUCUGGGCCGUAACUGACGCUGAGGCACGAAAGCUAGGGGAGCAAACGGG
rnacentral:rRNA from 1 species